rnacentral:rRNA from 1 species
UAAGGAAUAUUGCGCAAUGGGCGAAAGCCUGACGCAGCGACGCCGCGUGGGGGAUGAAGGUCUUCGGAUUGUAAACCCCUUUCGGGAGGGAAGAUGGAAUGGGGUAACCCAUUCGGACGGUACCUCCAGAAGCAGCCACGGCUAACUUCGUGCCAGCAGCCGCGGUAAUACGAAGGUGGCAAGCGUUAUUCGGAUUUACUGGGCGUACAGGGAGCGUAGGCGGUUCGGUAAGCCCUUUGUGAAAUCUCCAGGCUUAACCUGGAACAGUCGGAGGGGACUGCCGGGCUAGAGGACGGGAGAGGAGCGCGGAAUUCCCGGUGUAGCGGUGAAAUGCGUAGAGAUCGGGAGGAAGGCCGGUGGCGAAGGCGGCGCUCUGGAACGUUUCUGACGCUGAGGCUCGAAAGCGUGGGGAGCAAACAGGAUUAGAUACGCUGGUAGUCCCUGAGCGGGCUGGCAAGGCGCAU